rnacentral:lncRNA from 1 species
UCUUUCCCGCCCGAAACUCCACCAAGUACUUGUUGGAGGCGCCCCGAGAGCCUGGCACCAGGCUUGGAAAGAGCGCGCCUGAGGUCGUCAUCCUGAAAGCGCGGAGAGGACGCUGAGACGCGGCGGUCACUGUCGGGGUCCCGAGAGGGGAGGGGCUCCUGGAGGGGAGGGAUCUGGGAGGGGUGAGUCCGGGAGGGGAGGGGUUCCCGGAGGGGAGGGGGCCCGGGAGGGGAGAGGGUCCCGGAGGGGAGGGAUCUGGGAGGGGUGAGUCCGGGAGGGAGGAGUCAGGGAAGGCCUGAGUCCCAGACGGGUAGGGUCCUGGAAGGGAGGGGUCCUGGAGGGCAGGGGCUCACCCUCUGGACGCCUGGAUGGGAAAGGCCACAGGGUAAAAAGGCGGCAGUCGCCCGCCAGUGUUGUGUAACUUUGAGUCACUUUGACACCAUUCUGCAGGGAGCCUACUACUCAGGCCUCCAUUGUCUCGGUGGCAGAGCUUGUGCCAGUUAUGUUUAGUUGCCAGCUUUUGACUGUCAUAAUGCUUCCAUUUGAAACAUUGAUUGAGCUAAAGAUUCACGUUUUUUGUUUUGGAAAAUGUAGCCACUUUUCAUUUUAAAAUGUGUGUUAACAGGUAGUAAGUUUGUUAUUGUUAUUUUUAUGUAGCUAAAUAAUUUUAAAUGUCCUCUUAAUUCCUAGUAUGGUAAAUGUCAAUAGAUAAAGCUCACAUAAACAAAAGCUCUUUGGGGUCCUGUAUAAUUUUUAAGAAUUUAAACGGUUCCAGAAGCUAAAGGGCUUGAGAGGGGCUAACACAAAGCUCUGUGGCCCGCUGGUGACAGGUGCGUCACUGAUACUGCAGCCCCAUCCUCGUGCCCUCGUGUAAAACAGGGAAAAGGUGGAAAUGAGAAAACCCAGCCUGGCUUUCCCGGCAAGAAGGUGGCAAGCGUCACUUGUUUAUGUC